GGGAAGAUGGCCGAGUGGUUAUGGCGCUGCGUUCAGGAAGCUUGAUUUUCACCCGCUUGGGCUACGAUCGAGUUUGAUCAAACCUGUCCAAUUGUAAUAAUUCGCAGUGGAGCAAUCCGCGUGGGUUCGAGUCCCACUCUUCUCA